UUACUUGGAUAACUGUGGUAAUUCUAGAGCUAAUACAUGCAAACAGAGCUCCAACCGGAAACGGAAGGAGCGCUUUUAUUAGAUCAAAACCAAUCGGUGGCGGGUUCGCUCGUCAUCGUACAAUUUGGUGAUACUGAAUAACUUUAAGCUGAUCGCACGGUCUCGUACCGGCGACGCAUCUUUCAAAUGUCUGACUUAUCAACUGUCGAUGGUAGGUUCUGCGCCUACCAUGGUUGUAACGGGUAACGGGGAAUCAGGGUUCGAUUCCGGAGAGGGAGCCUGAGAAACGGCUACCACAUCCAAGGAAGGCAGCAGGCGCGCAAAUUACCCACUCCCGGCACGGGGAGGUAGUGACGAAAAAUAACGAUACGGGACUCAUCCGAGGCCCCGUAAUCGGAAUGAGUACACUCUAAACCCUUUAACAAGUAUCAAUUGGAGGGCAAGUCUGGUGCCAGCAGCCGCGGUAAUUCCAGCUCCAAUAGCGUAUAUUAAAGUUGUUGCGGUUAAAAAGCUCGUAGUCGAAUUUGUGUCUCGCGCCGCCGGUUCAUCGUUCGCGGUGUCAACUGGCGUGCCGCGAGACGUCCUGCCGGCGGGCUUAGCUCGCAAGGGCGGCCCAAUUCAAUCCCGCCGCGGUGCUCUUGAUUGAGUGUCGAGGUGGGCCGGCACGUUUACUUUGAACAAAUUAGAGUGCUUAAAGCAGGCUAAAACUUCGCCUGAAUAAUGCGUGCAUGGAAUAAUGAAACAGGACCUCGGUUCUAUUUUGUUGGUUUUCGGAACCCCGAGGUAAUGAUUAACAGG
rnacentral:rRNA from 1 species